GGUUCUAUGGUGUAAUGGCAGCACUUUGGACUUUGAAUCCAGCAAUCCGAGUUCGAGUCUCGGUAGAACCU
rfam:Folsomia candida strain VT population Fcan01_Sc003, whole genome shotgun sequence.